ACGGGUGAGUAACACGUGGGAACCUUCCCUAUAGUACGGAAUAGCCCAGGGAAACUUGGAGUAAUACCGUAUACGCCCGAAAGGGGAAAGAAUUUCGCUAUAGGAUGGGCCCGCGUAGGAUUAGCUAGUUGGUGAGGUAAUGGCUCACCAAGGCGACGAUCCUUAGCUGGUUUGAGAGAACGACCAGCCACACUGGGACUGAGACACGGCCCAGACUCCUACGGGAGGCAGCAGUGGGGAAUAUUGGACAAUGGGCGCAAGCCUGAUCCAGCCAUGCCGCGUGAGUGAUGAAGGCCUUAGGGUUGUAAAGCUCUUUUGCCGGGGACGAUAAUGACGGUACCCGGAGAAUAAGUCCCGGCUAACUUCGUGCCAGCAGCCGCGGUAAUACGAAGGGGACUAGCGUUGUUCGGAAUCACUGGGCGUAAAGCGCACGUAGGCGGAUUUGUAAGUCAGGGGUGAAAUCCCGGGGCUCAACCUCGGAACUGCCUUUGAUACUGCGAAUCUUGAGUCCGAUAGAGGUGGGUGGAAUUCCUAGUGUAGAGGUGAAAUUCGUAGA
rnacentral:rRNA from 2 species